rnacentral:rRNA from 1 species
AAUGAACGUUGGCGGCGUGGAUUAGGCAUGCAAGUCGAGCGAGAACCCCGCAAGGGGGGACAGCGGCAAACGGGGUAGUAAGGCGUCGGAACGUGCCCAGAGGACGGGGAUAGCGGCGGGAAACUGCCGGUAAUACCCGAUGAUCUCGAGAGAGCAAAGGUGUGAUUCCGCCUUUGGAGCGGCCGACGUGGUAUUAGCUAGUUGGUGAGGUAAUGGCCCACCAAGGCUUUGAUGCCUAGGGGAUGUGAGAGCAUGAUCCCCACCAUUGGGACUGAGACACUGCCCAGACACCUACGGGUGGCAG